rnacentral:rRNA from 1 species
UACGUAGGCAGCGAGCGUUGUUCGGAGUUACUGGGCGUAAAGGGUGUGUAGGCGGUCCUCUAAGUUUGGUGUGAAAUCUCCCGGCUCAACCGGGAGGGUGCGCCGAAAACUGGGGGGCUAGAGUGCGGGAUGGGUAAGUGGAAUUCCUGGUGUAGCGGUGAAAUGCGUAGAUAUCAGGAGGAACACCUGUGGUGUAGACGGCUUACUGGACCGCAACUGACGCUGAGACACGAAAAGCGUGGGUAGCAAACAGG